rnacentral:rRNA from 1 species
AUUGAACGCUGGCGGCAUGCCUUACACAUGCAAGUCGAACGGUAACAGGUCUUCGGAUGCUGACGAGUGGCGAACGGGUGAGUAAUACAUCGGAACGUGCCUAGUAGUGGGGGAUAACUACUCGAAAGAGUGGCUAAUACCGCAUGAGAUCUACGGAUGAAAGCAGGGGAUCGCAAGACCUUGUGCUACUAGAGCGGCCGAUGGCAGAUUAGGUAGUUGGUGGGAUAAAAGCUUACCAAGCCGACGAUCUGUAGCUGGUCUGAGGGGACGAUCGUCCGCACUGGGAGUGAGACACGGCCCAGACGCCGACGGGAGGCAGCAGUGGGGAAUUUUGGACAAUGGGCGAAAGCCUGAUCCAGCAAUGCCGCGUGCAGGAUGAAGGCCUUCGGGUUGUAAACUGCUUUUUUGCGGAACGAAAAGCCCCGGGUUAAUACCCUGGGGUCAUGACGGUACCGUAAGAAUAAGCACCGGCUAACUACGUGCCAGCCGCCGCGGUAA